rnacentral:lncRNA from 1 species
GGACUUCGAUUUGUAGCGGUCGAAUUUCCGAUUGUCAUCGAACGCCGCAUCCUGUUGCUCGAAGACUGGAGGAGCUAGCAUGCGCUCAGAGCAGAGUGACGAAGCAGCGGCGGAGAGCGGAGUAAAACGAAAGUUACGUCACUCGCAGCUGAACUGGAGAGGAGUCGACGGAAAGACUGGAGCUGAAAGAUGUCAUUUCUCGAACCGUCAGAAACAACAUGCUGACUGAGGCAGACACUGAUCGAGAAAUUAAGACUUUUAUCAGAAGAUGGCUCCAUUUGGCUGGAGACAGAGAUGGAGGCAGACGAAGAAGAGAAGAAAGACGGCAGCCUGUCCAACAUUCCUGUCUGGAAGACACUGUUUCUGUGGGCCCAGUUGAGACCUGGAUCAAGAUGGAGAGUACGCCGGUGCUGAGGGAAGCCUGUUGCUAUAAAGAUGUCCCAUUUUAUUUCAUUUUGUUUUUUUAAUAAAGAAUUUCUUACUAAACUUUUGAUUUUUUUUUUCUUUAUCAAAUUCUUAAACGA